rnacentral:rRNA from 1 species
AUUGAACGCUGGCGGCAUGCCUUACACAUGCAAGUCGAACGGCAGCACGGGAGCAAUCCUGGUGGCGAGUGGCGAACGGGUGAGCAAUAUAUCGGAACGUGCCCAGUCGUGGGGGAUAACGUAGCGAAAGCUACGCUAAUACCGCAUACGAUCUAUGGAUGAAAGCGGGGGAUCGCAAGACCUCGCGCGAUUGGAGCGGCCGAUAUCAGAUUAGGUAGUUGGUGGGGUAGAGGCUCACCAAGCCGACGAUCUGUAGCUGGUCUGAGAGGACGACCAGCCACACUGGGACUGAGACACGGCCCAGACUCCUACGGGAGGCAGCAGUGGGGAAUUUUGGACAAUGGGCGCAAGCCUGAUCCAGCAAUGCCGCGUGCAGGAUGAAGGCCUUCGGGUUGUAAACUGCUUUUGUACGGAGCGAAAAGGCUUCCACUAAUACUGGGGGCUCAUGACGGUACCGUAAGAAUAAGCACCGGCUAACUACGUGCCAGCAGCCGCCGCCGUAA